rnacentral:rRNA from 1 species
GAUGAACGCUGGCGGCGUGCCUAAUACAUGCAAGUCGAGCGAACGGACGAGAAGAUUGCUUCUCUGAUGUUAGCGGCGGACGGGUGAGUAAUACGUGGAUAACCUACCUAUAAGACUGGGAUAACUUCGGGAAACCGGAGCUAAUACCGGAUAAUACUUUGAACCGCAUGGUUCAAAAGUGAAAGACGGCCUUGCUGUCACUUAUAGAUGGAUCCGCGCUGCAUUAGCUAGUUGGUAAGGUAACGGCUUACCAAGGCAACGAUGCAUAGCCGACCUGAGAGGGAGAACGGCCACACUGGAACUGAGACACGGUCCACACUCCUACGGGAGGCAGCAGAAGGGAAUCUUCCGCAAUGGGCGAAAGCCUGACGGAGCAACGCCGCGUGAGUGAUGAAGGUCUACGGAUCGUAAAACUCUGUUAUUAGGGAAGAACAUAUGUGUAAGUAACUGUGCACAUCUUGACGGUACCUAAUCAGAAAGCCACGGCUAACUACGUG